rnacentral:rRNA from 1 species
GACGAACGCUGGCGGCGUGCUUAACACAUGCAAGUCGAACGGAAAGGCCCUGCUUUUGUGGGGUGCUCGAGUGGCGAACGGGUGAGUAACACGUGAGUAACCUGCCCUUGACUUUGGGAUAACUUCAGGAAACUGGGGCUAAUACCGGAUAGGAGCUCCUGCUGCAUGGUGGGGGUUGGAAAGUUUCGGCGGUUGGGGAUGGACUCGCGGCUUAUCAGCUUGUUGGUGGGGUAGUGGCUUACCAAGGCUUUGACGGGUAGCCCGCCUGAGAGGGUGACCGGCGACAUUGGGACUGAGAGACGGACCAGACGCCUACGGGAGGCAGCAGUGGGGAAUAUUGCACAAUGGGCGGACGCCUGAUGCAGCAACGCCGCGUGCGGGAUGACGGCCUUCGGGUUGUAAACCGCUUUCGCCUGUGACGAAGCGUGAGUGACGGUAAUGGGUAAAGAAGCAACGGCUAACUACGUG